GCCCACCGUUCCCGCAGUGGGAGCCAUUUUCAAGGAGCUGUCCUCGAGGGAGUCAGGUGCGCUUGAGACCAAGGUGACUGAACCCCCGUUAAGAGCUCAGGGUAAACGUUUAAGGUUCUGGUCGCAGUGGGGAGACCUCCUGCCCCUGUGGCUGCCAAGACAAGCUUGAUGAGUAAGUCGACUCUCAGGGUGGCCUCAUCAUUGGCUCAAGAGCCCACAUCUGGAAAGUGAAACAGGUCUGCAUUCAAACCCGGCACUUCCUCUUCAGCACGUGUCUCAGAGGGCAAUUGCUGAGUCAUAUGCCACGCCCUUGGUCGUGUGACCUCGCAGUGACUUGUGUCGGUCAACGUUUGGCACCUUCAAUCGGAGGGAUUUAAACCAAAAAUUAGAAGUUUUGUCCUCAAAGUUACAAUACUAAACAAGCGUAAAAGACCGUAAAAGAAAAUUUCAA